rnacentral:rRNA from 1 species
CCUACGGGAGGCAGCAGUGGGGAAUAUUGGGCAAUGGGCGCAAGCCUGACCCAGCAACGCCGCGUGUAGGAUGAAGGCCCUCGGGUUGUAAACCUCUUUUCUCAGGGACGAAGCAAGUCACGGUACCUGCGGAAUAAGCCACGGCUAACUACGUGCCAGCAGCCGUGGUAAUACGUAGGUGGCAAGCGUUAUCCGGAUUUACUGGGUGUAAAGGGAGUGUAGGCGGGAAAGCAAGCCAGAUGUGAAAACCAUGGGCUCAACCGGUGGCCUGCAGUUGAAACUGGUUUUCUUGAGUACGGGAGAGGCAGACGGAAUUCGUAGUGUAGCGGUGAAAUGCGUAGAUAUUAGGAAGAACACCAGUGGCGAAGGCAGUCUGCUGGACAGCAACUGACGCUGAGGCGCGAAAGCGUGGGGAGCAAACAGGAUUAGAUACCCUUGUAGUC